GCCGGGCGUGGUGGCGGGCGCCUGUAAUCCCAGCUACUCGGGAGGCUGAGGCAGGAGAAUGGCGUGAACCCGGGAGGCGGAGCUUGCAGUGAGCCGAGAUCACGCCACUGCACUCCAGCCUGGGUGAAAGUGCCAGACUCCGUCUCAA
ensembl:misc_RNA Metazoa_SRP Metazoan signal recognition particle RNA